rnacentral:lncRNA from 10 species
AGAAGGCGCUUGUCCUGCCAAAGCAAAGCACCGUGCUUUACAGCUACUGGAAGAGCAGUCCUGAGAAACAAAGCCCCGAUUUUUUAUAGCCACCGGGGAAACCAGAGCCCACUUCCUUCCUCCAGGACCAGGGCUUUAUUGAUGCGGAUCAUCUUGUUUCAGGGCUGACCUGCUGCCAUCCCUCCAAGAGAGACAGGAGAAAGAUUGAAGCUCUCUCAGGGAAUUCAUCAAAGAUGAGGAAACUGAGGCUCAGUAACAUGUUCAGCUUAUGCCCAAGUUCACACAGCUGAGAAGACACAGAACAAGACCCUGCGCCUUCAUCCCUGGACCCUAUCUCUGCAGUGCCAGAGGGGCUCCGAAGCCCGGGUCUCCACCCCAUUCUCUGCCUCUCCUAAAGGGACUGAUUCCCAGCUUGGCCACAGAGUGUGGGCAAAACAGAACUGGCCCCACUCAGUCACCUCUGAAGAGCUUUCCCAGCCCAAGAGGAAGACACCCAGCUAAGCAGACCAGCUGCCUGCAGAGGCUUUGGGGAGACGGUGGCCCCAGGAGGGGUUCCCAUUGAUUCUAUUUCAAUAAGGGAAAUGUAAUAAGUAUUUUUUGUCCCAAUGGUCAAAAAAUGACAACAAAUUUAGUUUAAAGAUCUUAAUUGUGGUCGGGCAUGGUGGCCCAUGCCUGUAAUCCCAGCACUUUGGGAGGCCGAGGCAGGCAGAUCACUUGAGGUCAGGAGUUCGUGACCAGCUUAGCCAACAUGUUGAAACCAUGUCUAUUAAAAAUACAAAAAAAUAGCCGGGUGUGGUGGCGUGCAUGUGUAAUCCCAGCUACUCAAGAGGCUGAGGCAGGAGAAUCGCUUGAACCUGGGAAGCAGAGGUUGCAGUGAGCCGAGAUCGUGUCACUGCACUCCACCCUGGGCAACAGAACGAGACUCUGUCUCCAAAAAAAAAAAAAAAAAAAAGAAAACCUUAAUUGAUUAUUUAUUUGUGAUUCCAGAAUCAGGCAGCCCCUGUACUGGAAUAGGUUCAAAGCACUGUGGCCAGACAGCACGGUGGUCAGGCAGUAGCAGAGGAUAGAAAAUGGAAGGGCAGCCUAGCGCUGAAUGGUUGCAGCUGGGCAUUUGCCUAAGUUGACUCAGUUGACCACCCAUGGUUGACUGAAGCUCAGCUGCUGUAAUGAGUGGAGGCUCAGCUGUUAGUUACAGAAGUAUGCUCCUACGUUAGGUUUUCAGUUAGUUUCUGAACUAAGCCAGGCGGCAGUUUGUUAUGUCAGGGCUCGAGUGCGGAGGCAUCCUCGGGCCAAGUUUAGGUUAAUUUAACACCACUGAGAGACCGCAAGAUGACAAAGAAAAAUCCAGCAUUGACAAGGCACAUCUAGAAAUUUCACAAUACUUCCCAGCCUCCGUGACUCUUGUAAAUAUUAAUUUAACCCUCUGGGUAAAUUGGUAAUAAAAUUCUCUUUGUAUUAAGGCAAUGGUAAAAGUUAAUAGGCUGUAAGCCAGAAUAAUUCCUGGGUGGUUUUAUUGCGGAGCAUGUGAGUGCCUCGAAUUGUACUGUGAGGCACUGAGUUUCUAGGCCACACUCCAUGACUGGAAUAGCAUUAUCGUUGACUCAUGUGGCAUUCCCAUUAUUGUUAUACAACCUGGUACAAAGCAGGUGUUCAAUAAACAUCAUUGUAAGGCCAUGUGCAGUGGCUCACCCCUGUAAUCCGAGCACUUUGGGAGGCCGAAGCGGGUGGAUCACCUGAGGCCAGGAGUUCAAGACCAGCCUGGCUAAGAUGGUAAAACCCAGUCUCUACUAAAAAUACGGGUGUGGUGGCACGUGCCUGUAAUCCCAGCUACCUGGGAGGCUGAGGCAGGAGAACCACUUGAACCUGGGAGGUAGAGGUUGCAGUGAGCCGAGAUUGUGCCACUGUACUCCAG